rnacentral:rRNA from 1 species
UACGUAGGGGGCAAGCGUUGUCCGGAUUUAUUGGGCGUAAAGAGCGUGUAGGCGGCUAGGUAGGUCCGUUGUGAAAACUCGAGGCUCAACCUCGAGACGCCGAUGGAAACCAUCUGGCUAGGGUCCGGAAGAGGAGAGUGGAAUUCCUGGUGUAGCGGUGAAAUGCGCAGAUAUCAGGAAGAACACCCGUGGCUAAGGCGGCUCUCUAGUACGGUACUGACGCUGAGACGCGAAAGCGUGGGGAGCGAACAGG